AGCGAACGCUGGCGGCGUGCUUAACACAUGCAAGUCGAACGUGAAAUGUAGCAAUACAGAGUAAAGUGGCGUACGGGUGAGUAACACGUGGGUAAUCUACCUUAGAGUCUGGAAUAACCGGCCGAAAGGCUGGCUAAUACUGGAUAGUUCAAGCGCAUUGUAAGGAUGCGAUUGGGAAAGGGAGCUCGCAAGAGCCUUUGCUUUAAGAUGAGCCCGCGUCUGAUAGCUAGUUGGUGAGGUAAUGGCUCACCAAGGCUGAGAUCAGUAGCUGGUCUGAGAGGAUGAUCAGCCACACUGGAACUGAAACACGGUCCAGACUCCUACGGGAGGCAGCAGUGGGGAAUCUUGCGCAAUGGGCGCAAGCCUGAUGCAGCAACGCCGCGUGAGGGACGACGGCCUGG
rnacentral:rRNA from 1 species